CUUUUUUUCCUCCUUUCAAUGAGUGCAGUUCGUUCCUAAAUCUGCCGUCCUGUUUGUUGCCUUCCGGGUGUUGUGCGUGGAUGAAAAAGAAAAUCACAACACAACAUAAAACAAUACAACAAAUAAAUCAAAUCCUGAACUGUUGAUCCGCUGAUUCUCUGGCCGGAGUCGCACCUCCAUAGCGUCGCCGGCUUUACACCUCACACCCAAAGAGAGGGAUUCCCAGUAAAAUUAGACCUCUUUUUCAGUAAAUGAAAAAGUGCCACCAAAAAGGUAAAAUCAAGGGUGAAAGUGGCUAGAAUUUCUUGCCGGAACUCCUCGAUGUGAAGGUUGCCACGGAGCCAGAAAUUUUGUUUAUUUAUUUAUUUUCAUUUUUGGGGGGGUUGGACCUCCUAAAACUACUCAAAUGCAAAGAAAACUGUUUUGGCACAUUUAUUUCUAUAACACAUACAAAAACUGACUUUCAUUCAAAAUUGUAUUAGCAAUAACCUCAACCACCAUCUCCUAAUUUUUAUUUUCCCUCAUUUCCUCACAUACUAAAUGCCAAAUCUCAAUUUUAAUUACUUAAGAACAUAGGAUGUAUAUUAAAAUUGAUGUGAAUGUAAACAUUUACUUUUGCUUUCUUUUCUUUUUUUUUAAAUAGUCAAGAUAUAAGUAACAUACAUUCAGAAAAAUAAGUACAAGACUUAUAUUAUGCAGAGUAAAAUGGAAUAUAUUUUGAAGAUGGCGCAAACAUUGACUUUUUAAAUUAUAAGGAAAUGAAUAAGUAAGCUAACAUAAAUGAACAAAUAUAAGUCCAAAGUGCACAUUGACAGCUAAGAUGUUCUGAACCUCCCCAUCAGAGCAAAUAAAACUAAAUAUGAUAAAUAAGCCUCCUCAACUCUUUCCUUGCUCUUAAAGAUUUGAUCCAUUUUCUAUUGCAUCAAUAAAUAUUGCAUAAAUAUUUUUUUUUUUGUCACAUCAAUUCAACAAACUUUUUUUUUUUUUUUUUUUUUUGCUGUGCCAGAAAACAUGCAUGUUUGAACCAAUCAGAGCUAACUAUCUCUGCUGAUCAUAUGUCAGUAUGCCAGCCAAUUGAAACGAUAAAUGAUUCCAGGUGUUUUGCUUUGCUGCGUGCAUUCGUACAUUGACGUGACUCAUCAUCGUCAGACUCAGAUAACUGCAGCAGCUGGGAAACCUCCAUGCCGUAAAACAAAUAGUAAACAUCGGUGGAAAUAGAUUACGCGACACAACCACUUUAUUAUGCUUGUAAAUCUGAUGUUGGUAGAUUGUUUUCUUCUUGGAGAUGAAAUGCAUGUGUGGCAGCUUAGCAUUUUUUUUUUUACAUAACGUUUUGACAGUUGCCGUCAUAUUUUUUUAAUCAAAGCACCGUGUACCGGAACAGCAUUCCGGCCCUCAAUCUUAUACCGGAACUGCGUUCUGAAUCUGAAUGUAUGAAUGAAUGCUUUAUUUGGACAUGAGGAAAAAAAAAAGACAAACAAAACAAACGAAAAACAAAAUAGAAAAAUAAAAAUAAAAAAAAUCAGACAGAACCAAUGAUAUUCUCGAGAUAACAGAAACAAUAGUUAAGACAAUCAUAAUAAUGAUAAUAUUAAACAAGAUCAGAAUUUAUUCAUUGUGUCCAAAAAGGAGUAGGAUGAAGCAUUUGCUUAUUAAAACCUACCCCCCAUUUCUAUUCCUUAAUUAUAUCUGUCCGCCCUAUGUAACUAGUCCUCAUAUUACAAAGAAAUAAACUAAAUAACCAUAUACAUAAAAUGCAAGAUAAACAAAAAUAAACAGGACUUAGAGUAGCCAAUAACAGAUAUGUGAAAACCCCCUAUAAUUGAACCUCUUCCUCCUCCCUUUGCCCAGUGAAAACCAUGUGCUUGUACCACUUCCUAAACUGGGUCAUGCUUGGACAUUGCUUGUGCCCCUCAUCUAGUUUAUUCCACAGCUUCACUCCACAAACUGAAACACAAAAACUUUUUAAUGUAGUUCAUACCUGCUGAUGCUGUAAGUGAAGCUCCCCCGUCAAACUGUAUUGUCCUUCUUUGUUAAAAAAUAAUUUCUGUAUAUUGCCAGGAAGUGACCUGUGUAAAGCCUUAUACAUUAGCUGAGCUGUUUGAAAAUGAACCAAGUCCAUGAAUUUUAAUGUUCCGUAAUUUAAAAAUAAUGUAUUUGUAUGAUCCCUAUAACCAGCGUUAUUUACCAUUCUUAUGGCUCUUUUUUGUAAAAUGGAUAGUGAAUUUAUUCUACAUUUAUAAAUAUUACCCCAGACUUCUGCACAGUAGUGUAAAUAUGGCAGGAUUAAAGAACAGUAAAGUAUGUGGAGUGAUUUAUGGUCAAGACUGUGUUUUGCAUUACUCAGGACUGAAAUGCUUCUUGAUAAUUUACUUUGUAUAUGUUUUAUAUGAGCUUUCCAGUUAAUCUUCUCAUCAAUAACUACCCCAAGAAACUUGUUUUCAUAGACCGUUUCAAUAUUUACCCCAUCUAUCUGUAUUUGUACUUCACUGUUUUUAUUGUAUCUGCUAAAUAACACGAAUUUUGUUUUACUUAAGUUUAAUGAUAAUUUGUUUCUGUCAAACCAUGUUUUUAAUUUACAAAUUUCAUCAGAAACCCUACCCAGGAGCUCAUGUAAUUCCCCCCCAGAACAAAGGAUACUUGUGUCAUCUGCAAAUAAAACUAAUUUUAGUAUUCUUGAAACUUUGCAUAUAUCAUUUAUAUAAAGAAUAAACAGUUUUGGACCUAACACCGAACCCUGAGGGACACCACAAGCAAUGUCCAAGCAUGAUGAUGAGUAGUCACCCAACUUCACAAAUUGUUUUCUGUUACUUAAAAAACUCUUCACCCAGUGUAGUGCCACUCCCCUGAUCCCGUACUUUUCAAGUUUAUUAAUUAAAAUGUCAUGAUUAAUGGUGUCAAAUGCUUUCAUAAGAUCAAUGAAUAUUCCAACUGAGUGUAAUUUGUUAUCAAAAGCGUGAGUGAUCUCCUCAACUGAUCCUAUUAAUGCUAGUGAUGUUGAACUGCCCUAAAACCAUAUUGACUGUCGAAAAGUAAGUUAUAUUUAUUUAUGAAUUUGUCUAAUCUGUUGUUGAAUAAUUUUUCUAGAAUUUUGGAAAACUGUGGGAGUAGAAAACAUGCCUGUAAUUUGUAAAGUGGUGUCUGUUCCCAGUCUUUUACAAUGGUGCUACUUUAGCUAUUUUCAUUUUAUUUGGAAAUUUACCAGUUGAAAAUGAUAAGUUACAGAUAUACUGUAUGUUAGUGGUUUUGAAAUUCCCUCAAUGACCUUUUUAACAACUAUCAUGUCAAUGUCAUUUGAAUCAGUGGAUGUUUUGCAUUUACAUGUAUUUACUAUAUCAAUUAUUUCUUCUUCAACCACUGCUGUAAGGAACAUUGAGCUGGGAUUCCUUUCAAAUAGGUUUUCAUUCCACUCAGAUAAACUUGUAUCUGGAAUAUGUUUUGCCAGAUUUGGUCCAAUGUUUACAAAGAACGCAUUAAAGCUGCCAAAUAUGUCAUUCAUAUUAUCCUUGUUCAUAUCAUCUUCCACAAAGUAUUGAGGAUAGCCCUGUUGUUUCGCACCAUUUUUAAUAAUACCAUUUAAUAUAUCCCAUAUUCCUUUAAUAUUGUUUUUGUUGUUAUACAAUAUUUUGCUAUAGUAUUCUUUCCUACAUACCCUUAUCAUAUUGGUCAGUUUAUUUUUUAUAUUUUUUAUAUCUAUUUUCUGCCUCUGUAGUUCUUUUUUUUUUUUUUUUUUAAUGAAUUCUCUAUACAGUGUAUUUUUCUUCUUACAAGCAUUUUGCAAUCCCUUCGUGAACCAUG